UUUGCUUUUAUCUACCGAAACACACCACCCAUGAAGGAGUAUACAAUUGUAACUGUAAAUGUCACAAGUCAUUACUGACCUAUCUCAACAAUCUUUGCGCGUAUGAUACAGUGUGAACAACUUGCUUUUAAUUUAGAGGUAAAGAUCCCUCAGUUUGUCCAGAUGCACUACCCAUGCUUUCCAGAGGAAAAUGACGUCAUUGUGUACAUGGGUCUAAUUUGUGCAUGCUUUCUUGAACAAUAAAACUUGGCAAUUGUUUUUGGAUUAUAAGUUUAAUUAUACGCAUUUGAAAAUACUUACAUGGAAUAAUGUUUUGUGUUAAACCAAUGAAUAACAUAUGGAUAUAACACAUACUUAAAUAAGUGUGCGAGUAUAGCGGCAAGUGGUACGAAGCCGGCGACGGUUUCCCGGAUGAUGACGGCUGUAACACGUGUAACUGCCAAAGGGGCAGUGCAGUGGCGUGCACCCUCAUGUUAUGUUUAGGCACCCCCAUCCCGGAAAAUGUGAAAUGAUGAUCACGCCCGCGUAUUGGUUAUCAUCCGAUAGAUGCACAACACAAACCGAAAAUGCAUGUCUUUGGUGAUUGCAAAAAACGACCCCAUAGCCUUAAAACGUCGCACUGGUUCCCGGGGCAGGAUAUAAGCCGUCUUUGCAAGAAUAGAUCGCACACGAGCCAGCAGUAAGCGGGUCGGUUAAUGUGAUUCGUGUUAGGUGAAGUCGAGGCGUCAUCUGUGACGGUAGCGGAUCUUGGUCAAAGGCGCCUUCAUGCAAAAAACGUAAGAUAUCUUCAUGUUUAUAAUAUAUAUUUUAAUAUUUAAAAUAUGUGUUUUUAAUUGUAACUUAACAUGGUCUUCAAUGCAAUGCCUUAAGCGGAGUGUCGACAAUGGAAGUAUGAGUGCUCGUGGACCUCUCACCCCUGGAUACACAGUUAUAGUUACAUGUAACAAUGGUUUCCUACCGCUAGGAAACAACUCCUUUACGUGCGCUGCUGACGGGUCCUGGACCGGAACUCCUGCUUGUGCGCGCCGUUAGUUGAUUAAGAAUGCUUUGUAUGCAGUAUCCAUUUAGGAAAGAUAUUCGAAGAUGUGUUUAAAUUGCUUAGAAUUCCGAUACAUUUAAGAAACGUUAUGGGAGUUCAUACAUGUCGAGAUAGGAUAAAGAAUUCAAUGUUAAUAACACAAAACGAGUUAUUCUCGCAACCUCUUUACAUUCGAUUUCAGUUAAUAGUUUGACACAUACUUAAUCAAAAGUAGCCGACAGGUUAAUUUUUAAAGUCGCUCAAAUAUUCAGAGUGCGAACCGAUACAGCAAGUGGUAAACGGCUUGAUGGACACGUACAUCGAAACUCUGGUGGUUGUAGCGGAUCCGUGGUCUAGUGGUAACACACUGGCUUCACAAUCCAGAGAUCGCUGGUUCGAUCCCCCGCUGCACCUUACCUACUAACUCGUCUUUCGCAUGAGACGUUAAACCGAGGUGCAGUGUACUAGGUGCUAUACACCGGGCACUAAAAGACCCAGGGUCACCUCUGGAAAGGGGUGUCUCCUGUAUCUUGCACAAUCCCCCGUAACGAACUAACACGUCUUUCUGGGGGCGAUGGCCAUAUGGGAGACAAUCCCGGUGCACUCGAUAAAAAAUAAUAAAGAAGAAAGAAACUCUGGUGACCGGCGCAGUGGUGACGUUUUCGUGUGUCCUGGGAUUCGCUCCAUUGAGGAACAACUUCCUCCGAUGUGACUCGAGCGGAUCUUGGUUCGGAACGCCUGUGUGCCAAACAGGUUAUAUUCGUAUUUAAAUAUUAUUUGCGUUUGUUUUGUUUUUAAAUGAAUCGACGAAAAACUUUUUGUAAUGUCACUACCGCUUGCCAUCAAGUAUUAUAUCCGAAUAGAGUCCUAUUAUACAACACACGAUCCGUCAGACUUUUUGUCGUUCAUGUUAUUUGUAUCUGUUUAUAAUAUAACUUCUUUGUGAAAAAAUCUGUCCCUUAUGUUUGAUUAUGCAUGAAUAAUACAAAGAUAUAUAUUUUGUUGUUUUGUUUUUUGUCAUUGUUUUUACUUAUAGUAUGCCUGGUAUCCAAUCUUCUCACUGUUGCAAAUGCUCAACGUCAGGCAGUUACUGACCCGCUUACUGUCGGCAUGGUGUUGACCUAUACAUGCAGCAGUGGGUACUCUCCUGCCGCAGGAACCAAUUCGAUAUUUACUUGUGACCGAAACGGGCAAUGGACUGGGAACGCGGCUUGUUUACCACUUUGUCUGGUAUCCAAUCUUCCUACUGUUGUCAACGCUCAACGAUGACAGGAAUAUGUUACCACGGCCCCCGUGGGGAAAAACGUUUGACUGUCGGUACGGAAGCUCGACGGUACAUGUGGAGGAUUUCCACCUAAAAAUUAAUUGUUAUUUCAGUGACAAUAUGAUACAUGCUAAUUACACUAUUCGUUAUAUUGUUAUACAUGGGUGAUUCUGAACUUCAUACAUUUGAAUGUUUUAACAUACAGUAACGUUUAACAAACACGUAAACGGUACGUUAUUGAGUAUCUUACAUGGACCUGUGUUCCUUGAAAUACUGAUUGUAUUAAUACAUGGAAACUUGUGCACGAUUAAAAGGACACUUGCAAGUCUAA